CCUACGGGUGGCUGCAGUGGGGAAUAUUGCGCAAUGGGCGAAAGCCUGACGCAGCCAACCCGCGUGUGUGAUGAAGGCCUUCGGGUCGUAAAGCACUGUCGUGAGGGAAGAAUCAAUGACGGUACCUCACAAGAAAGCACCGGCUAACCCUGUGCCAGCAGCCGCGGUAAUACAGGGGGUGCAAGCGUUGCUCGGAAUUACUGGGCGUAAAGCGUCCGCAGGUGGGCGUGUGUGUCGGGUGUGAAAGCCCAGGGCUCAACCCUGGAACUGCACUC
rnacentral:rRNA from 1 species